GACGAACGCUGGCGGCGUGCUUAACACAUGCAAGUCGAACGGUAAGGCUCCAGCUUGCUGGGGUACACGAGUGGCGAACGGGUGAGUAACACGUGGGUGACCUGCCCUGCACUUCGGGAUAAGCCUGGGAAACUGGGUCUAAUACCGGAUAGGACCAUGGUGUGGAUACUGUGGUGGAAAGUUUUUUCGGUGUGGGAUGGGCCCGCGGCCUAUCAGCUUGUUGGUGGGGUAAUGGCCUACCAAGGCGGCGACGGGUAGCCGGCCUGAGAGGGUGGACGGCCACAUUGGGACUGAGACACGGCCCAGACUCCUACGGGAGGCAGCAGUGGGGAAUAUUGCACAAUGGGCGUAAGCCUGAUGCAGCGACGCCGCGUGGGGGAUGACGGCCUUCGGGUUGUAAACUCCUUUCACCAUCGACGAAGGGUUUCUGACGGUAGAUGGAGAAGAAGCACCGGCUAACUACGUG
rnacentral:rRNA from 1 species